rnacentral:rRNA from 1 species
UUCCAGACUCCUACGGGAGGCAGCAGUGGGGGAUAUUGCACAAUGGGGGGAACCCUGAUGCAGCGACGCCGCGUGGGUGAAGGAGUAUUUCGGUAUGUAAAGCUCUCUCAGCAGGGAAGAAAAUGACGGUACCUGACUAAGAAGCCCCGGCUAACUACGUGCCAGCAGCCGCGGUAAUACGUAGGGGGCAAGCGUUAUCCGGAUUUACUGGGUGUAAAGGGAGCGUAGACGGCGGUGCAAGCCAGAUGUGAAAGCCCGGGGCUCAACCCCGGGACUGCAUUUGGAACUGUGCUGCUAGAGUGUCGGAGAGGCAGGCGGAAUUCCUAGUGUAGCGGUGAAAUGCGUAGAUAUUAGGAGGAACACCAGUGGCGAAGGCGGCCUGCUGGACGAUGACUGACGUUGAGGCUCGAAAGCGUGGGGAGCAAACAGGAUUAGAUACCCCCGUACGU